UACGGGGGUGGCGAGCGUUGUCCGGAAUCACUGGGCGUAAAGGGCGCGUAGGUGGUUUGAUAAGGGUGUGGUGAAAGUCCGGAGCUCAACUCCGGAUCUGCCGUGCCGACUGUCAAACUCGAGGGCUGUAGAGGCAGACGGAAUUCCGGGUGUAGCGGUGGAAUGCGUAGAGAUCCGGAGGAAGACCGGUGGCGAAGGCGGUCUGCUGGGCAGUUUCUGACACUGAGGCGCGACAGCGUGGGGAGCAAACAGG
rnacentral:rRNA from 1 species